GACCGCCAGUGAAAAUCGAUUUUCACUGGCGGUCGGCGUAAUAAAACCACCAGUGAAAAUCGAUUUUCACUAGCGGUC
rnacentral:pre_miRNA from 7 species